GGGCUCGUCUUUCAACGGCAGGAUGCUGUCCUCGCACGGCGGCGAUGGGGGUUCGAGUCCCCUCGAGUCCA
rnacentral:tRNA from 1 species